rnacentral:lncRNA from 1 species
AAGAAGAAUGAAGAGGCUCAUUGGUGGAGCUUCUCUUCCAGCUAUGGGGGAAGUAGCUCUAGCAGAGACACAAUUCUGAGGGGGAUACAGAUAGGGUGGAAAGCAAACGCUAUGUGUUACUGUGUGUAAUGAGCAGCUGGGGUCUUAUUUCCUACUAUUGUGAACCCAGCACUUAGGAUAGGGUGUGCGGAUAUAUGUUAUUAAUGCACGUGUACAAAAUAGAACUUACUAACCAGCAUACUGUAAAGCUAAAGCCGUUUAGAACUAAGCAUUUUCAAUGCCUAAUAUUUGUUGUAUAUAUAUAGCUUUCCAUUUUGUAAUACCUUUUUUUAGUUUGAUAGUUCUAUAUAUUGCAUAUGAUUCUGUUAUGGAAAAGCUGUGUGACUUCCGAAGGUCCCUGCCAGGCCUGUAUUUUAUAACUUUACAGACCAUAAAUGUAUGCAGGCUUCAGAACUGUGUUACAAGCUCAGUUGCUGCGUAUAUAAUCAACUGUAUUUAUGAUUCUUGCUGAAGAAGAGGAUCCUGUGAUUAAUGUGUCUCUCCCCCCUUUUCUGUACAGUACUGGCUGGUGGGUAAUACUGUGUUGCCUUAUCUGUAUCAUGAGUAAUGAUAGUACCUACUUACCUACUUUCUAGUGAAUUCAAAACACAGCAGAGAAUCCCAAGUAUGGAAAAUCCUUGCACAGCCGAAGCUGAGAAGGAGGAAAGACAUAAGACAAAUGGACUCCCUUCCUAAUGAGAGGGAGGAUAGUACAGCAAUAGGGUUUAACAUAAAUUGUCUUUUGUAUGUUUUUUAUAAGCAUUGUCAUAACUUGUCAAAAAAGCACAAAUGUAAAAUAAACUUGGCUCUGAAUAUACUGGGAGGGGUAGAAGCAUAACCAGCAUGUUACAUGUUUAAAAUGUUCAGGAGAAAGCUAUAGCAGAUAGUCAUUAAUUACUCUCAAGUGAUACUAAUGUAUGUGGCAGUCCUUUCAAAUGUGGUGGCUUAAUUAAAACUGUUUUAACUGAU